AAAUCCGUCGACUUUUAAAAUCGUGAGGGUUCAAGUCCCUCUAUCCCC
rnacentral:tRNA from 6 species